UCUAAGGUGCGUGGGUUAAUCCUGGUAAAGGAACUCGGCAAAUUGGCCCCGUAACUUCGGGAGAAGGGGCGCCUCCAUUAGGUGAAAGCCUUCGCGGCUGGAGCCGAAAGAGGUCGCAGAAAUCAGACUCGGGCGACUGUUUACCAAAAACACAGGUCUCUGCUAAGUCGCAAGACGAAAUAUAGGGACUGACACCUGCCCGGUGCCGGAAGGUUAAGUAGAGGGGUUAUCCCGACACUUGUGUCGGGAGAAGCUCUGAAACGAAGCCCCGGUGAACGGCGGCCGUAACUAUAACGGUCCUAAGGUAGCGAAAUUCCUUGUCGGGUAAGUUCCGACCCGCACGAAUGGUGUAACGACUUGAGUACUGUCUCUACCAGGAGCCCAGCGAAAUUGUAGCGUCGGUGAAGAUGCCGGCUAACCGCGGCAGGACGGAAAGACCCCGUGAACCUUUACUAUAACCUGACAUUGGGUUUUGGUUCUGUAUGUGUAGGAUAGGUGGGAGGCUAUGAAGCUUCGACGCUAGUCGGGGUGGAGCCAACCUUGAAAUACCACCCUUAUAUUGCUGAAAUUCUAAUUCCGACCCUUGAAUCAGGGCGGGAAACAGUGUCAGGCGGGUAGUUUGACUGGGGCGGUCUCCUCCUAAAAUGUAACGGAGGAGCCCAAAGGUUCCCUCAGCACGGACGGUAAUCGUGCAAAGAGUGCAAAGGCAUAAGGGAGCUUAACUGCAAGGCCGACAGGCCGAGCAGGUGCGAAAGCAGGGCUUAGUGAUCCGGUGGUCCCGAAUGGAAGGGCCAUCGCUCAUCGGAUAAAAGGUACUCCGGGGAUAACAGGCUUAUCGCCUCCGAGAGCUCAUAUCGACGAGGCGGUUUGGCACCUCGAUGUCGGCUCAUCACAUCCUGGGGCUGAAGAAGGUCCCAAGGGUUGGGCUGUUCGCCCAUUAAAGUGGUACGUGAGCUGGGUUCAGAACGUCGUAAGACAGUUCGGUCCCUAUCCGCCGUGGUCGCAGGAAACUUGAGGGAUGCUGUUCCUAGUACGAGAGGACCGGAACGGACGAACCUCUGGUGCACCAGUUGUCUCAUCAGAGGCACCGCUGGGUAGCUACGUUCGGAUGGGAUAAGCGCUGAAAGCAUAUAAGCGCGAAACCCUUCCCAAGAUUAGGUUUCCCUUCCCGAUUUCGGUCGGGAGUGAAGGUCCCCUGUAGACUACAGGGUUGAUAGGUCACAGGUGUAAGGUCAGUAAUGGCUUCAGCCGAGUGAUACUAAUUGAUCGUCAGGCUUUACCAA
rnacentral:rRNA from 1 species